rnacentral:rRNA from 1 species
CCUACGGGUGGCAGCAGUGGGGAAUAUUGGACAAUGGGCGAAAGCCUGAUCCAGCCAUGCCGCGUGUGUGAAGAAGGCCUUCGGGUUGUAAAGCACUUUCAGUGGGGAAGAAAGCCUUGGGGCUAAUACCCUCGAGGAAGGACAUCACCCACAGAAGAAGCACCGGCUAACUCCGUGCCAGCAGCCGCGGUAAUACGGAGGGUGCGAGCGUUAAUCGGAAUUACUGGGCGUAAAGCGCGCGUAGGCGGUCUGAUAAGCCGGUUGUGAAAGCCCCGGGCUCAACCUGGGAACGGCAUCCGGAACUGUCAGGCUAGAGUGCAAGAGAGGAAGGUAGAAUUCCCGGUGUAGCGGUGAAAUGCGUAGAGAUCGGGAGGAAUACCAGUGGCGAAGGCGGCCUUCUGGACUGACACUGACGCUGAGGUGCGAAAGCGUGGGUAGCAAACAGGAUUAGAUACCCCAGUAGUC